GACGAACGCUGGCGGCGUGCCUAAUACAUGCAAGUAGAACGCAGUUGCGAACGGGUGAGUAACGCGUAGGUAACUGCCUCAUAGCGGGGGAUAACUAUUGGAAACGAUAGCUAAUACCGCAUAUGGUGAGAUGGACCUGCGUUGUAUUAGCUAGGUGGUGAGGUAAAGGCUCACCAAGGUGGCGAUACACAGCCGACCUGAGCGGGGGAUCGGCCACACUGAGACUGAGACACGGCCCAUACUCCUACUGGAGGCAGCAGUAGUGAGACGUGGGCAAUGGGCGGAGGUCUGACCGAGCAACGCGGCGUGAGGGAAGAGGGUUUUCGGAUCGUAAAGCUCGGUUGUUGGAGAAUCGGUAACUAACCAGAAAGGGACGGCUAACUACGUGCCAGCAGCCGCGGUAAUUC
rnacentral:rRNA from 1 species